rnacentral:rRNA from 1 species
CCUACCGAUUGAGUGUUGAGGUGAGCUAUUCGGACUGGGUUCUGGUGUAAUAGCCAGUUUCUGGAAAGUCUCGCGAACCUUUACACUUAGAGGAAGGAGAAGUCGUAACAAGGUU